UACGUAGGUGGCAAGCGUUGUCCGGAUUUACUGGGCGUAAAGAGCGCGCAGGCGGUCGUUCAAGUCGGGUGUGAAAGCCCCCGGCUCAACUGGGGAGGGUCACGCGAUACUGAUCGACUCGAAGGCAGGAGAGGGAAGUGGAAUUCCCGGUGUAGUGGUGAAAUGCGUAGAUAUCGGGAGGAACACCAGUGGCGAAGGCGACUUCCUGGCCUGUUCUUGACGCUGAGGCGCGAAAGCUAGGGGAGCAAACGGG
rnacentral:rRNA from 1 species